rnacentral:lncRNA from 1 species
CAUCAUAGGGAGAAUUGUAAGACUGGAACAAUGCUCAGUUACUCCCUGUUUCCAGAGUAGAAGAGGAAAAGAGCUUUACCUAGAGCAAGAAAAUAGAAAAGGCUUUUUAGCACUGAGAAGUGUUCAUUCCUGGGAAAAGAAAGACAAAGAAUGGCUUAAUCACUGACUGUCAAAUAAAUGAAGGCCUAUCAACUGGAGAGAAACUGUUAGAUAAAAGAGAGAGAGAACUAAAACAAAAGAUCUACCCUAGAAGGAAGCACCAUUUUGAUUCUAAAGAUUGUGGGAGUCUCUUGGGGUCAUUGUUCUUGAAAAACUAUCUGUGGCAGUUCU